GCGACACGAACAAGUGCAUAUACUGUGGCCCCUUUGACGGUACCUAACCAGAAAGCAACGGCUAACUACGUGCCACACCGCGGUAAUACGUAGGUGGCAGCGUUGUCCGGAUUUUGGGCGUAAGCGCUCGCAGGCGGUUCUUUAAGUCUGAUGUGAAAUCUUACGGCUCAACCGUAAACGUGCAUUGGAAACUGGGGAACUUGAGUGCAGAAGAGGAGAGUGGAAUUCCACGUGUAGCGGUGAAAUGCGUAGAGAUGUGGAGGAACACCAGUGGCGAAGGCGACUCUCUGGUCUGUAACUGACGCUGAGGAGCGAAAGCGUGGGGAGCGAACAGGAUUAGAUACCCUGGUAGUCCACGCCGUAAACGAUGAGUGCUAGGUGUCAGGGGGUUUCCGCCCCUUAGUGCUGAAGUUAACGCAUUA
rnacentral:rRNA from 1 species